rnacentral:rRNA from 1 species
GAUGAACGCUGGCGGCGUGCCUAAUACAUGCAAGUCGAGCGAACAGACGAGGAGCUUGCUCCUCUGACGUUAGCGGCGGACGGGUGAGUACACGUGGAUAACCUACCUAUAAGACUGGGAUAACUUCGGGAAACCGGAGCUAAUACCGGAUAACAUGUUGAACCGCAUGGUUCAACAGUGAAAGACGGUCUUGCUGUCACUUAUAGAUGGAUCCGCGCCGCAUUAGCUAGUUGGUAAGGUAACGGCUUACCAAGGCAACGAUGCGUAGCCGACCUGAGAGGGUGAUCGGCCACACUGGAACUGAGACACGGUCCAGACUCCUACGGGAGGCAGCAGUAGGGAAUCUUCCGCAAUGGGCGAAAGCCUGACGGAGCAACGCCGCGUGAGUGAAGAAGGUCUUCGGAUCGUAAAACUCUGUUAUUAGGGAAGAACAAAUGUGUAAGUAACUAUGCACGUCUUGACGGUACCUAAUCAGAAAGCCACGGCUAACUACGUG